rnacentral:rRNA from 1 species
AUUGAACGCUGGCGGCAGGCCUAACACAUGCAAGUCGAACGAGUGGCGGACGGGUGAGUAAUGUCUGGGAAACUGCCUGAUGGAGGGGGAUCACUACUGGAAACGGUAGCUAAUACCGCAUACCAUCGGAUGUGCCCAGAUGGGAUUAGCUAGUAGGUGGGGUAACGGCUCACCUAGGCGACGAUCCCUAGCUGGUCUGAGAGGAUGACCAACCCAACUGGGACUUGGACAAGGUCCAAGCUCCUACGGGAGGCAGGAGUGGGGAAGCUUCGGCAAUGGGCGGAAGUCUGACUGAGCAACGCCGCGUGAGUGAUGACGGCCUUCGGGUUGGAAAGCUCGUUAAUCGGGGCGACGGUACCGGAAUAGGAAGCAACGGCUAACUACGUGCCAGCAGCCGCGGUAAUUC